rnacentral:lncRNA from 1 species
AUGAAGAAAUCCCCAGCAGGAGGGCCUGAGGUCUGCUUUCGUCUUGAUCCUCAGCCAGCUUCAAAUAUUCAACAAUAUUCUAGACCACUCUUCCCUACAUGUUUUGGUUUCACAUAUAAGCUGAUUUGGAAUUCAAAGAUCUCUUCAUUGCUUUCCACGCCGCUAGCAUCCAUCAACAGGAGGGUUGUUUCCUGCAUUUGGAAGCACCUCGCACAUGGGAGGGGGUGCUACAGAUCCACAGUGUGGGUGAGAUAUUUCUGUGCAGACAGAGAAGGAGCAACUGAAAUACUCAUCUGGAAUGGGCUUUUUUUUUUUUUUUUUUUGACAGAUCACUGACUACUUCCAUUGUAUGGUUUCUAAAACUCGGAUUCCUGGAUUCUAUGCCAUGUGGUCUUGUUUGAGACAUCUAGAAAAAAUGUUUAUCAUACACGAUACUUCUCUGAGUUUGGACAGAGAGGCUGUGAAUGACCUGGUGUUUUCUCAUCUUCCUGGAGGUGGACAAUGUUUGCAUGUACGUUUACACAUGUAAGGGACAUACAUGUUAUGAACAGGCUAAUUCUUCUCAGAUUUCCCUCUUAGCAGAAAUUUUUUCUAGACUGAAGUCAUAAGCUGACUGUGAGUCUUCGUUUUGUUGGAAAUGCAAGUUUUGCCUCAAUAGAUGGUCUUUGCAGGUAUUUUCGUAAGAUGUUGGGAAGAGCUCAAAAACUCUAGCCAGAAAUUAUUUUAAUCUUAAAAACCCCAAUCCUACCAGGGCACUUUAAUCUGAAAGAUACUUUCAAAGGUGAUCUUUGAAGUUUCCAUAGAACUAAGCAUUUUCCUAAAAAGCAAACAUGUGACAAAUAUGAGAAGUAAGUCCUAGAAGGGUACAGAAAAGUGACUGGCACACUGACACACUUCUGUGAAGAUUUCAGACACAUAAGUGAUAUAUAAUCCUUCUGGAAUUAGGGGAAAAUACGAUGAACUUUUCAAAACCUUUGUCUCCUGUACAUUCUCUAUCAUCCCCGUUUUCCCCAGGCCCUUUGUUAUCCUUCCUGUCUGACUGGUUAAACACAUAACCUUUUAAUUUCUUUUUAAAUAAAUCCCUAUGGACCUCUAGGAAGGAUAAAGGCUAGGAGGUCAUUUCAAUUUUCUCUUCAAUCUUUGUGCCUUCUCUUUUAUCCUCCCUAAAUUGUAAAGUAAUUAGAUUCUUGCAUUGUUUUGCUUUUUGAACUUCUACAAACAUUCACUUUUAUUUUCCAUAUUGUUUUACUAGCUACACAAUGCCUCUCUAGAUUGGUUAGGAGUGCACAGCAAUUCAUUUGAAAAUGGCCUGUUUUAUGUUUAUUUCCUCCUCCUCUUUUCCUUGCAGAGUCUAAUGCCCCAUCACUGUGGUUUUCAUGGCUUUAAUUCUUUGUGGUAUGCUGGGGUUCACAGCACUUUGCUCUUCCCCAUGCUUUCCUUUGUUCUGGUGCUUGCCUUUGCUUCCCACUCUGCCCCUUGGCAGAGCAGGUUUUCAGCUGUUGUUGCACAUCUGGUCCAUUUAUAGACAAUAACUUCCGACUGUUUGUUUCCUUUUCUAGGUUUUCGUUGGGAUUCAUGGAGUCAUAGAGUGAAUGCUGGGGUUGCUGUUUUCCCUCAUACAUAAUAUUUCUCACACCACUUUUUGUGACUUUCUUGAUUCUACUUCUUCAAUUUAAGUUUAAAUCUACAAAAUGAAUCCUCCAAAGG